CUUUGUUUCUCAAAGGAGAAAGCAGAGGGUACAAGCAGGAUCUCAACAUGUUAAUAAGUGACUCGUCUUUAUUGAGGCUGGCAUGAAAAAUCAGAAGGAACCGAGAUCUCAAGUCAUCCUAUUACUAAUCUGGUAUAAGAAUAUGCAGCGACAGUAGGGCUUGGAGGGGGGUUAGAAGUCCUACCCAUGCAGCUGCAGAACUGGUUCUCUCAAGCAGAUUAGCGGAUGUGGGUUUUGAUUCAGAGGAGGACAAACAGACUGCGAUAGAGGGAAGGGGGAGGCGAGUGAGAGGAGAAGGGCGUGGGGAGGUGUCAAAAAAAAGUAGCUCUCGGUCUUCCUUGUUGCUGUGGAAACUGUUUUUUACUUGAGCAAGAAGCUGUAUGUCACGCCAAUUCACUUGCACAACUUCUUGUGCUCUGUCAUCUCUCUCCCCCUCCUCACUCCUUGCUGUCUCUCUCUCUGGGGAUACAAGAGGCUGUCUGUCUGUCCGCACAUAUGUCUGUCUGUCACACUUGCAUUUGAUCCCUAUAUUUGGAGAAGUGAUUCUCCUGAAACUUGGUAUAAACAUGAUUUAGCAGAAAGUAUUGAGAGCAUUAGAUUGCCCGCCAGUCUGUCUGCCACACAUUGUUCCAUUAUGCCGGCAGCUUUGAACAUUAUUCAUUUUCAGAGUUACGGGAAUUUCAGACUUGCGCACGGCCUCCCUUCCUUCCCAAGGUGUUGGUAACUUCAAGGCUCUAUUCAGACGCUUGGUGACUCCUUGGCAGGUUCUGGGUACGCACGAGGGUGCCUGUGUCUCUGUUCUUUAUUAAAGUCUGUCUCGGAUAUCUGUGUUUCCUGUCUCCACGAUUGUGGGAGGACAGCUGCAAACUUCUCCCUGCCUAACACCCUCCACCCCUCGCCUCUCAAUCUCACAGGCUAACCUCAAACUUCCUAUUUCAGGCAGUGACGAAAGUAAAAGCAACACAGGCGCACAAAGCCGUUCCCUUGGCCAUCGCCGGCUUCUACAUAUCUAUAGAGAAUCCAAACCCACAGUGGAUAUUACAGGAGCAGCAAGUCUUGCUGUAGUUCCAUUAAGGGGAUUGCAGCUGCAAUGGAAAAUAUUUCAUUUUUUGUCAAUGUUUUAGACUCACCUUUAGAAUAAUCAUGAUGGCAAUAAUGAGUUAAAAAACUAUUGAAAGAAUGUUACCAAUUGUAUGAAAAAAGAUGAAUGAUUAAUUAUAGGAAAUUAUAAAAGGGUUGAAAUAUACAACUAUGGCUGUUAAUUCUAUAGAGAGGGUAUGGAAUUCAAUAUGUUAACAAGGGAACAUUAUUCAGCAUUUUCAUUCCACUUUAUAAAGCAAAAUUAGUUAAUUCUAUAGGGGGAUGCAAAACUGUUUGCCGUAGUGGUAUAGAAAUCUAUUUUGGUGGCCGAUCUCACUGUCGAAUAUGGAUUAUAAAAUAUCUGCUAAAUUACUACAUCAAGACCGAAAACACAACAGCCUCCUUCCUGCCAACAUUCGACGGAGCUUCAUGAUACCAUGUCCUCAGGGGGGAGGGGAGAAGAGGCUUGUAAACUAGAGAGAGAUACACAGGAAGCGAGCUACGGGUGUAAGAAGCUGGCGUCAUUUCUGCUGUCUGCUGAGGUAAGAAGGGCUGUACGUUUUUUUUUUUUUUGUUGAUUCAUUUCACUUUAAAGAUUUUUUUCUAGGGGCUCGUUUCAAGGUUUACGAAUUGCAUUUUCCUCUGGUGCGAUUUUUUUUUGGGGGGAGAAGUCUUUUGGCAGGUGGCUGGGGUGGGGGGACAGAGAGAGAGAGAGACAGAGAGAGAACAUGGUGUCUUCCGGUUUAUCAACGCCCUUUCAAUCAGAGAGGCCUUGAUUGUGAACCGUGGGUCCACCUCUUCUCUUUCGUAGUGAGGUGUCCUCUCGAUCGGAGCUGACGA